ensembl:lncRNA
CUUGGGUACUUUUUUUCCACCAAUGGAUGGUUGUCUAUCGGUAAUCCUAUAGAUCCAGGUCUCUAUCAUCUCAGCAGCUUAGCUGUCAGGUCAGGCAUCUGUCUCCUAUAGAUCCAGGUCUCUAUCAUCUCAGCAGCUUAGCCAGCAGGUCAGGGGGUUCCAGGCAUCUGUCUCCUAUAGAUCCAGGUCCCUAUCAUCUCAGCAGCUUAGCCAGCAGGUCAGGUCAGGCAUCUGUCUCCUAUAGAUCCAGGUCUCUAUCAUCUCAGCAGCUUAGCCAGCAGGUCAGGUCGGGCAUCUGUCUCCUAUAGAUCCAGGUCUCUAUCAUCUCAGCAGCUUAGCCAACAGGUCAGGUCAGGCAUCUGUCUCCUAGAGAUCCAGG